rnacentral:misc_RNA from 1 species
GCUAAAGAGGCUCAAGGAAAAUUACGACGUUGUCGAUAUCCAAUGCGCGUUCGAUCCGCUGCUCGCAAUCCCAGCUCUUAUUCUCUGCAGGCUUGGGUUUUCCAGAAGAAGCCGUGUUUUUCAUACCCCACACGGAAUAUUCAUGGACGUCAUCAUGUCAGCGAGCUGGUUGAGGAAAAGAGCCUUCUGUCUGUUGAGCGAUGCGGUAGGCCUCUAUCGGAACGUCACCCAUCUGGCCGGAUCACCAGGAGAAGAGACAGAUAAAAGCAGGACAUACAGGUCGUCUCGCAGUUCGUGGAGUCGAUACCGGCGAAUCCCGCAAGGCGAACGAAAC